GAUGAAGAACGUAGCGAAAUGCGAUACUUGGUGUGAAUUGCAGAAUCCCGUGAACCAUCGAGUCUUUGAACGCAAGUUGCGCCCGAAGCCAUUAGGCCGAGGGCACGCCUGCCUGGGCGUCACACGUCGUUGCCCCCCCCAUCUACUCCUUCGGGAUUGCGGGGGGCGGAUGAUGGCCUCCCGUGCGCCUCGCCGCGCGGUUGGCAUAACUGCCAAGUCCUCGGCGACGCACGCCACGACAAUCGGUGGUUGCGAAACCUCGGUUGCCCGUCGUGUGCGGUCGUCGCGCAUCGAGGGCUCGAAAAAAUUGCCGGGCUCCGGCUCGGCUUUCAACGCGACCCCAGGUCAGGCGGGGUUACCCGCUGAAUUUAAGCAUAUCAAUAAGCGGAGG
rnacentral:misc_RNA from 1 species